rnacentral:rRNA from 1 species
AGAAGGAAUACCGAUUGCGAAGGCGAUCUACUGGAACAUUAUUGACGCUGAGACGCGAAAGCGUGGGGAGCAAACAGGAUUAGAUACCCUGGUAGUCCACGCCCUAAACGAUGUACACUAGUUGUUGCUAUGCUAGACAUAGCAGUAAUGCAGUUAACACAUUAAGUGUACCGCCUGGGGAGUACGGUCGCAAGAUUAAAACUCAAAGGAAUAGACGGGGACCCGCACAAGCGGUGGAGCAUGUGGUUUAAUUCGACGAUACGCGAAGAAUCUUACCUGGACUUGACAUAGUAAGAAUAUUAAAGAGAUUUGAUAGUGUCUGCUUGCAGAAACUUGCAUACAGGUGCUGCACGGCUGUCGUCAGCUCGUGUCGUGAGAUGUUGGGUUAAGUCCCGCAACGAGCGCAACCCUCGUCGUUAGUUGCUAACAGUUCGGCUGAGAACUCUAACGAGACUGCCUGGGCAACCAGGAGGAAGGUGAGGACGACGUCAAGUCAUCAUGGCCCUUACGUCCAGGGCUACACACGUGCUACAAUGGGGUAUACAAAGAGCAGCAAUACCGUGAGGUGGAGCAAAUCUCAAAAAUACCUCCCAGUUCGGAUAGCACUCUGCAACUCGAGUGCUUGAAGUUGGAAUCGCUAGUAAUCGUAGAUCAGCAAUGCUACGGUGAAUACGUUCCCGGGCCUUGUACACACCGCCCA